rnacentral:misc_RNA from 1 species
AUCAGUUUGAGAUAAUGGAAUAUAUCCUGGACUUUGGAUUUGAUCGAUUAGGUGCUGAUCAGUCACAGAUUGACCAUCCUAUCUUAAUUACUGAAUGUGCUUGCAAUCCAGUUCAAUCUCGUGGCAAAAUGGCUGAGCUGCUCUUUGAGUCAUAUGGAGUUCCUUCAGUAGCAUUCGGUGUAGAUGCUGCAUUCAGCUACAAAUACAACCAACAGCUUGGAAUUUGCAAUGAUACAGGCCUUGCAAUCACCUCAGGAUUUACCACAUCUCAUGUCAUCCCGUUUAUAAAUGGAGAGCCUGUCUAUGAAGCGUGCUGUCGAACUAACGUUGGUGGAUACCAUGUCACUGAUUA